CAGAGCUCAGAGUUGGAGGCAAGUCGCCACUGUGUUUCAGGUUUCUGGCAGUCGGAUUCAUUUGCCUCACAAUACUUUCCUGUUGUUUUUUGCAGCAAACCAAAGAGAGAGUGAAGCUAUUGAUACAGCUGGCUGAUGGCUUUUGUGAAAAAGGGCAUGCCCAUGCGGCAGAGAUAAAAAAAUGUGUUACUGCUGUGGAUAAGAGGUACAGAGAUUUCUCUCUGCGGAUGGAGAAGUACAGGACCUCUUUGGAAAAAGCCCUGGGGAUUUCUUCAGAUUCCAACAAAUCGAGUAAAAGUCUCCAGCUAGAUAUCAUUCCAGCCAGUAUCCCUGGCUCAGAGGUGAAACUUCGAGAUGCUGCUCAUGAACUUAAUGAAGAGAAGCGGAAAUCUGCCCGCAGGAAAGAGUAAGCCAGUCUUUCAGAAUCUACCAGGAUUCACUGGAAAAGUGAAGAGAAUGUCGUUUGGACAGACAUGCUUCUGUGUGUGCUUUGAAGUCACAUGGCACCC
rnacentral:sRNA from 1 species